rnacentral:lncRNA from 1 species
GAAGGACAGCUUGAAAGAAAGCAUGGAGCUCAGCCAUAAAGAUCAUCUGCCCUGGCUGUGGACUGUUCCUGGGAGUUGGCACUCUCUAAGGAGCUUUACCAGAGCCUUUCAUCAGGAGAUGCUGCAAGAAGACAGGUAUUUCCUGGUAAAGGUGUUUGGGUAGCCAGUAUACCACGAUUGCACCAAACCCUCCUCGAGGGAGAAGAUAAUGUCUAUUACUCUGAAACACACAAUCCUUCCUCCGGGCUUUCUAAUGUUGAAUCUAUUCAUUUCUUGAAUUCUCCACCAUGUGUUCCAAAUAGGAGCGGCCAUUCUAAGCAAUGUUGGACCCAAAGCCCAUGCAGUGUUUAAGCUGCAGAUGUGAUCUGGUGACUGGUUAGAGCUGUGUCUCCACCCUGAUAGAGGAAGCAAGUCUGAGAGACAAAGGCUGGCAUAGGGGGAGUGGGAAGACCCCUGGAGAUGGAUGAGAUCCAAGCUCUGGUCAUCGCCGUCACUUUCCUCCUUAGCCUUUAGUAUGGGGCCGCUGAAUCUCUCCUCUUGGAAGUGAAGCCAAACUUUCAUUUUCUGCCUUUUGCAGCCAAUGAGUCUUCUCAAACAACACCUGCCACCUUAUUCAUGUCUCUACAGCUAGUAGUGGAUUCAGGAUUCUGCAUUCAAGAAUGGCCUUCAUAAACUAUCUUCAGUUUUAAGCCUGAAAUAACAUCUGUCAUCAUGGGAUUUAGGAGCAUGGUGACUGAUCACGGGUUAUGCUUGUCACAGGUGCUAUGAGGGUCCCAUGUUAGCGCUGCAGCAUGAAAUGGUAGCUUCCCAUGCACUCUGACCAUCUACUGAGCCGGAGUUUGUUCCGUUGGCAUUAGGCCAACUAUCCCGCAGACUAUUUCCAACAACUGACUAAUUAAUUGGCCCUCCUCAAGCUUAAUCUCGGAAGACCAGAUGGGAGAGACUGCAGCAUGCUUAUCAGCAAUGGUCUAUACUUGGUCAUGUCAUUGAUUUCCUAUUUGCAUGGUACAUAGAGCAUUGGAUAUAGAAGAUGAAAUAAUAUAUGUGGACAUUGAUGAUAAACCAGCUAGGCUGCCUUAGGAAACAAUAUUAUUCCUUUGAGUCCUGCUUUUCCCAUUUGCUGGCUGGAGACAUCUCACAGUAUCUGCCUUCUAGUCCUACCGAGAGGAUGGGAUUGGGGAAGAUAAGCCCAGCAGCACUUUGUCCUUAGCUAUACUUUCUCAAAGAGUCACGUCAGGCUCAUCCCUAAACAAACAGGCCACUGUAGAACUGACAGGUUUGCUCUGAUGAAUACUUGGCCCAAGGCAGGGUCAUUCUUGCAAGAGCUGCCCUGGUGUACUUGAUGAAGGAGCUGAGGUGAGCCUCCCCAUGUCUGAUAAGCUCAUUUGUCAGCUCUAGCUUUGGGAUGCUUAUGCUCAAUGCCCCUGCUCUGAAAGCCUCCUGGCUCAGGAUUUGGUGAUGAAAAUGGCUCUUGAGUCUUUUGCCCCCCUGCUCUGUCCUUAUGACGCACACACUAGUGUGUGUCCUAACUAAUGCCCUGGCUGUUAUCUAAGUGCAACCUGACAGAUUGUGCCUUGCUAGGCCCCCGCCGGCUUGUGCACUAUUCGAGAUGCUGCUGGAGAGCACAGCUCUCCUGUAUAAAGCCCAGUAAGGAUGGCUGAUGGGCCGGCAUGGACCACUUGUUCAGGGGGCCCAUCUAGUUCUGAAUCUGCUUCUGUCCUUGCCCUUGCCAUAGUUUUUUCAGAAGCUUCUUCCCAGGGACUCUCCUCCAGUAGAAGACCAUGGUACGAAGAUGGCGGUUCUGGAGACACGGGUUCAAAUCUCUGUCCUGCUGUCACGUGUCUGUGGAAACUAACAUUUGGGAAUAAUAAGGCUCAUAUUGCACUGAAGUCAUGACCAACAGUCAGCUAACAUGCACAUAUAGCGGUGCUGAGAAAACGCUGGUUUCCUUUCCCAUUUCUCAAUCGUUAGACAGAGAAAGCAUCCCCGCCAAUGAGAUACCUUAUAUUUUAGGAAGAAAACGGCAUGUACAGUUGUGUCUAAAAAGGAAUGUUUUCAAAGGGCACCGUGGGAAACAAUGUAUUUCCCUUUAUCUACAACAUGCUGAGAGUCAGAUGUAGGAUUCUGCAUUUCUUCAGCAACAAGGGAGGAUGCAACAGGAACUAAAUGCCUGCCUGGCAGGGAGGCACACGGAGAGGGUGGGGCUCAGCUGAAGACAGAUUGUGUUCCUUGGUGCUGGUGGAAAGGGUAGACCUUCUCAGCAAAGCCCCAGGGGCUGGCAGUCUAUGACAGGGACAAGAGUCACUCCCAUCUGCAGAGCUGGCUUACAUUUUCAAAGCACUUUCUCUUCUUCAAUCUUUGUCCCCCUUACAACGUCCAUGCGAGACGGGUGUUAUCGCUCCCAUCUGACGGAAAGGAAAUGAAGCAGUGCAGGAGUAUUGUAAGUGACAAGACAGGCUCUCAGGAGUCAGACAGAAAGCAGCAUUCUCUCUCUUCGCUCAGUGAGGUGACCUUGAACUAACAGAUUGUACUGUGGGUCUCAGUUUGCUCGUUUGUCAUCUUCUCUCAAAGCACCCAUCCUUUGUCUCAGGGUACAGAGAAGACACACUCUAGAGACCCCACUGCACCCCAUGCUAGCUCCAUGCAGGACUAGCAAACAGGUCCCCAACUGCUCCUAGGACCCAGCAUGCUUACUCCAGAGCUUGGAACUUCAGGAAGUUCACUUUGGAUAUCCUUGUCCUCAGGACCUUUUCUGGAGAUUGUUCUAUGGUCCCUGGAUGCCCUGAAAGGUCUCUGGAUAAGGUCUUAUGGCUAAGCUGAGAAAACACACUUCUUAUAGAGAUCAGACACCACGCUGAGUGGAAUGAGUACUGACAACAAAGCCAGAGAUCUGAAUCCC